AGAGAGAAAGAGAGAGGGAGAGAGUAUUAGAAAAUUUAGCUCUUAGAUCAUGUAAAAAAAAUUAAUGUUAAUUAAAUGUCCGUCCAUCACGUGUAAAGUUACAGUGAUAGAGAUUAUGCCUUUUUUACUCUAAUUUCGCUGUUACAAGCCUCACUUGACACUGUGUAUACUCUAUUAAAUGUGAGUCCAGCAUGCUCAGUGCCACUGGGUCAUGCAGCGUCUGAAACUCCUCUUAUGCAUUGAACAUGGGGCAUAUGCCCAAAAGUAUUAAAUUUAACAUUGGACAUGCUGAAUCGCAAUAAGAAUGCACAAGACCUAUAUUUUUAAUCAUUUGUCUUUUGUUGAUGGAAUUGAGUCACAAAGAGAGAAAGUGAGAAAGCAAUAGAAAGUUUAGCUCUUAGGUUAUAUA
rnacentral:misc_RNA from 1 species